CAGUCAGUCAGUCAACUCCACUGUCUCAUGUCUGUCUGUAAUCUCUCUGGCCUGGAGUCCUUUCUGUCCCUGGCUCUUUUGCAGAUUGAGGCCUUCUAUGUUUCUCUGAUCCUUCAAGAGGAACUGACCCAUCCCUACCUUCAGGCUAGUGAGCCUCAGCGGUUUGACACCCAUUGACAAACUCCUGCCAUGGGUGGUUGUCUCCAUGCCUUUUGGUUUCUUCUCCUAUGUCCUGCUGUAGUUCAUGUCUCAAGCCUUCAGUGUUCCCUGGUACCUCACAUCAAGCUGCCUGUUUGAGACCCUCAUGACAUCCAGCCUGUUAUCUACUCUUCCUUCACACACAUGUAUUAAUGUGCCUUCCUUUUCGCUGAGCAUGAGACACUCUGCCACAGCCUACAGAAUGAGUGUGGAGCUGGUGGCCUCUGUGAUUCAGGGUCAGGUUGUGGCUGUAUUCUACACAGAGAAGGCUGGGGCAUGUCAGCAGUUGGACCAGAGCCAGGAGCUGCCUCACAACACCCCUUCAUCACAAAUCGUUACUACAGACCAUGGGCUGGUCUUCUUCCACCUGUACCCCAUCAACGAGGAAUGACGCCUCCAGCUCCAGAGAGAGCAAGGCAGAGAUGUUGAAGCCAUACAUUCAACUGAUAGAGGAGAUGGGCUCAACACGCAGUCGUCAGUCAAGACGCCAACCACCUUUUUAUUUAUUUUAAUUUUAUUUAGCCUUUACUUAUCUAGGCAAGUCAGUUAAGAACAAAUUCUUAUUUACAAUGCCAGCCAAACCUGAACGACGCUGGGCCAAUUGUGGGACGCCCAAUCACGGCCGGAUGUGAUAGACUGGAUUCGCACCAGAGGCUGUAAAAUAUAUUUUGAUUUUGG
ensembl:lncRNA